GAUGAACGCUGGCGGCGUGCCUAAUACAUGCAAGUCGAGCGAACGGACGAGACGCUUGCUUCUCUGAUGUUAGCGGCGGACGGGUGAGUAACACGUGGCUAACCUACCUAUAAGACUGGGAUAACUUCGGGAAACCGGAGCUAAUACCGGAUAAUAUUUUGAACCGCAUGGUUCAAAAGUGAAAGACGGUCUUGCUGUCACUUAUAGAUGGAUCCGCGCUGCAUUAGCUAGUUGGUAAGGUAACGGCUUACCAAGGCAACGAUGCAUAGCCGACCUGAGAGGGUGAUCGGCCACACUGGAACUGAGACACGGUCCAGACUCCUACGGGAGGCAGCAGUAGGGAAUCUUCCGCAAUGGGCGAAAGCCUGACGGAGCAACGCCGCGUGAGUGAUGAAGGUCUUCGGAUCGUAAAACUCUGUUAUUAGGGAAGAACAUAUGUGUAAGUAACUGUGCACAUCUUGACGGUACCUAAUCAGAAAGCCACGGCUAACUACGUG
rnacentral:rRNA from 1 species